rnacentral:rRNA from 1 species
UACGUAGGGGGCAAGCGUUGUCCGGAUUUAUUGGGCGUAAAGAGCGUGUAGGCGGUCAGGUAGGUCCGUUGUGAAAACUCGAGGCUCAACCUCGAGACGCCGAUGGAAACCAUCUGACUAGAGUUCGGGAGAGGUGAGUGGAACUGCGAGUGUAGAGGUGAAAUUCGUAGAUAUUCGCAAGAACACCAGUGGCGAAGGCGGCUCACUGGCCCGAUACUGACGCUGAGGCACGAAAGCGUGGGGAGCAAACAGG